CAUUGGGGACCCUAUGCUCAGUCUAUUGCUUGGCUGUGAGCUAUGGGAGGAGCUAGAGAAAGAACCCAAGGAGCUGAAGAAGUUUGCAGCUCCAUAGGAGGAACACCAAUAUGAACCAACCAGACCCCCUCAGAGCUCCCAGGGAUUAAACCACCAACAAAAGUGUACACAUGGCUCCAGCUGCAUAUGUAGCAGAGGAUGACCAUUUCAGACAUCAGUGAGAAGAGACCAUUGGUCCUGUGAAGGCUCCAUGCCCCAGUGUAGGGCAAUGCCAGGUUUCUCUGUGUAGCACUGGCUGUCCUGGAACUUACUCUGUAGACCAGGCUGGCCUUGAAAACAGAAAUCCACAAGCCUCUGACCCACAAGUACAGGGAUUAAAGGCAUGCACCACCACUGGCUGGCUUUUGGAUAUUUCUCACAAGGAUCAAAUUGACCAUACUAGGAACCUGGAGAGAGGUUUCUCAGAAAUGAAGCACUAAGGUAUAUUCUGAACAGGGGAAGGAUUUCAGAUACUUACAACUCCCUACCAUGGUGGAAGUCAUCUGCAGUUUUAAAAAAGAAAGCAUUGUCACAAUUGGCCCACAUCAUAUAUGUCAUCACUAUCUGGCUUUCUCUGGAAGAUUUAGGGAGCAAUAGAUUUAUGCCCUAUGGUGCUGAAAAUGACACAGGUCAGCUUCUAAGACAUGAGUCCUAAACCUACUGAUAGAUCCACCCGAGGGUCCUUCAUGAUUGCUUUAACUCCAAAGGACUAUGUAAAAUGACCAGCUACAGCGGGGAGUCUUCGGACUUUUCACAUGAAUGCCUUCAAGCAUCCGUGGUGACAUCUUAAUUUACUUAUGUAGGGGUAAUGUGACCACUUCUGGGGACUUUGCCACUUGAACAAGAUGAGAAAUUCUGUUACCUGGUUUGACUUCAACCUUCAAUCAUGAGUCAUUGGACAUUUACCCAGAAAAGAAACCACAUUCAUAUGGUCACUUGAUAUUUGACAAAGAAGCUAAAAAUAUCCAGUGG